UACGUAGGGGGCAAGCGUUAUCCGGAUUUACUGGGUGUAAAGGGAGCGUAGACGGCUGUGCAAGUCUGAAGUGAAAGCCCGUGGCUCAACCGCGGAACUGCUUUGGAAACUGUAUAGCUUGAGUACAGUAGAGGUGGGCGGAAUUCGUGGUGUAGCGGUGAAAUGCUUAGAUAUCACGAAGAACUCCGAUUGCGAAGGCAGCUCACUGGACUGCAACUGACACUGAGGCUCGAAAGUGUGGGUAUCAAAAAGG
rnacentral:rRNA from 1 species